AUUGAACGCUGGCGGCAUGCCUUACACAUGCAAGUCGAACGGUAACAGGUCUUCGGAUGCUGACGAGUGGCGAACGGGUGAGUAAUGCAUCGGAACGCGCCCAGUAGUGGGGGAUAGCCCGGCGAAAGCCGGAUUAAUACCGCAUACGACCUGAGGGUGAAAGGGGGGGAUCGCAAGACCUCUCGCUAUUGGAGCGGCCGAUGUCAGAUUAGCUAGUUGGUGGGGUAAAGGCCUACCAAGGCAACGAUCUGUAGUUGGUCUGAGAGGACGACCAGCCACACUGGGACUGAGACACGGCCCAGACUCCUACGGGAGGCAGCAGUGGGGAAUUUUGGACAAUGGGCGCAAGCCUGAUCCAGCAAUGCCGCGUGCAGGAAGAAGGCCUUCGGGUUGUAAACUGCUUUUGUCAGGGAAGAAAUCUUCUGGGUUAAUACCCCGGGAGGAUGACGGUACCUGAAGAAUAAGCACCGGCUAACUACGUGCCAGCCGCCGCCGUAAGAC
rnacentral:rRNA from 1 species